GGAGAGUUGGCCGAGUCGGUUGAAGGCGCUCGCCUGCUAAGCGAGUAAGGGGCUAAUCGCCCCUUCGAGGGUUCGAAUCCCUCACUCUCCGCCA
rnacentral:tRNA from 1 species